rnacentral:lncRNA from 1 species
UUUAUGGGGGAAACAUUACAGGCAAAUUUAAAUGUCUGGUGGGAAUCCACAUAGUUAAACUUACAUUGCAAGAGAUCAGGAAUGAAAAGCAUAGCGAGGCAGGCAACUAACACGGCAACUUUUGAAAUAUUGCUUUGGUCAUCUCCUAGCCUGAGUUCUGGAUUCUCUGGCUGGUUGGGCUGUGGGCCAUGGUGGAUUGGGGGCCUCCAUGGGGCUCGUGCCAGCAUGGGGGAGGGUUGGUACGAUGCUUGCUGGGCACAGGGUGGGAUGGAGGCACCAAGAGAAGUCUGAAGGAGGAAGGUGUGCUUUGAUUUGCAAAACAUUUGUGGUUUGAGCCUACGCUUGGGGCCUGCUGCGCUGCUGAGGGAAGAUGGGAGCUCUGAGAGUAAUAAAAGGACUACGUGAAGGGAGCGAGCCACCCUGUGAAAUUGCUUCAAGCUGUAAAAUACACUCAAGGAGUCGUUCCUGCUGCGAAGAGGGGGACAGGAAAAUUGGCCUCAGAGAUGCUUAUUUGAAUCCCUGGCCAGAGUGUGGCACAAAGAAACCACACAGAGUUUACUCUUCUCUUUUAAAACACCACAGUCUGCCUCACUCCUUGACUCACCUUGUAGAAGGAAGAGCCAUCCAUAACUACCUCCUGUGUAGAGCCUGGUGGUUUUGGUUACAGCAAGACACCUACCAGAGCACACCUGUGCAAAGGCUGCAGUUUCUGGGCUCUCAAAUCACCAUGAGACAGGUUUCGAGCUUUUUAGCCCUGUUGGGACUGGGGUGGCUCUUGCCAUGUGGCGCCAAGCACGUUCCCAAGGAACCUGAGCCAAAAAGCAAGGCCCCUGCAGGAUCACAGCGGCUGGACAGAAGUAUUCUGGAUCAGACUUAGGCAAAAUUACAGACCAAAGCCCCAUUGCAUGACCUUAAAUCAUCCUUGCCAGCUAUCCAACUAACCUUGGCUGCAAAUCACCAUCUCAGUGGCUGUCUGCAUGGUCAUACAACUCCCAGUUACCAGCACUGGGAGCAGAGCCCAUGAGACGGAAGACAGAAAUGGGUCGUUCCUCAGAAACCACACUCAGUUCACUCAAGAUGCACUCGCUCCUAACUCUUCUUAUGUUUUCUAGGCAAAUCUCCCACCUGAACAGCAUCUGUGAGCAGUGGUCCUUGCUGUGCCUGACAUGAAACCAGGCCUUUGGGAAGUAACAAAAUGUAUGUGCCUGAUCAGGCCAGGCAUUGAUCAGGAGAUCAAGGGGCACAAAGUUCUGCCAGAAUUCAAGCCUGGGUUAAAAUACCACUCACUGCAAUGGGAAGGAAUCUCAGCAAGUCCAGAUGCUUUGCCUAGUGUCAGACCUGGAAAAAAAGACCAUCUUUCUUUCCUUUUGUAUUUCAUAUAUGAUACUGUGAGCAUAAAAUAUCUAGUAAUUAACCCUCAUACAAUUUCUCAGGUUAAACCAAUGAAGUUUUGAUAACAUUUGGCACUUGGCAAUAAUACAGCCAGGUUAAGGUAUUUAAGCAUAAAUAUAAACAAUAAUUGAAAAAAAGGAAAUAAAUAAGUCUUUUAAAAAUGAAGACUUUUUUUU